rnacentral:rRNA from 1 species
UACGUAAGCAGCGAGCGUUGUUCGGAGUUACUGGGCGUAAAGGGUGUGUAGGCGGUUGUUUAAGUUUGGUGUGAAAUCUCCCGGCUCAACUGGGAGGGUGCGCCGAAUACUGAAUGACUAGAGUGCGGGAGAGGAAAGUGGAAUUCCUGGUGUAGCGGUGAAAUGCGUAGAUAUCAGGAGGAACACCGGUGGUGUAGACGGCUUUCUGGACCGUAACUGACGCUGAGACACGAAAGCGUGGGUAGCAAACAGG